rnacentral:rRNA from 1 species
CGGUGAACCCGCUUCGGUGGGGGAUCAGUGGCGAACGGGUGAGUAACACGUGGGCAACCUGCCCCCGGCUCUGGGAUAACUCCAAGAAAUUGGGGCUAAUACCGGAUGUGACCGCUGGCCGCAUGGUCUGGUGGUGGAAAGGGUUUCCGGCUGGGGAUGGGCCCGCGGCCUAUCAGCUUGUUGGUGGGGUAGUGGCCUACCAAGGCGACGACGGGUAGCCGGCCUGAGAGGGUGACCGGCCACACUGGGACUGAGACACGGCCCAGACUCCUACGGGAGGCAGCAGUGGGGAAUAUUGCGCAAUGGGCGAAAGCCUGACGCAGCGACGCCGCGUGGGGGAUGACGGCCUUCGGGUUGUAAACCUCUUUCAGCUCCGACGAAGCGGAAGUGACGGUAGGAGCAGAAGAAGCACCGGCCAACUACGUGCCAGCAGCCGCGGUAAUACGUAGGGUGCAAGCGUUGUCCGGAAUUAUUGGGCGUAAAGAGCUCGUAGGCGGUUUGUCGCGUCGGCUGUGAAAACCUGGAGCUCAACUCCAGGCCUGCAGUCGAUACGGGCAGACUUGAGUGUUGCAGGGGAGACUGGAAUUCCUGGUGUAGCGGUGAAAUGCGCAGAUAUCAGGAGGAACACCGGUGGCGAAGGCGGGUCUCUGGGCAACAACUGACGCUGAGGAGCGAAAGCGUGGGGAGCGAACAGGAUUAGAUACCCUGGUAGUCCACGCCGUAAACGUUGGGCGCUAGGUGUGGGGGCCAUUCCACGGUCUCCGUGCCGCAGCUAACGCAUUAAGCGCCCCGCCUGGGGAGUAC